rnacentral:pre_miRNA from 1 species
CGGUGAACCACAUCAAUUUUCUUAAUUGAGUUUCUAAAUGCAGAAAGUUGAUGGUGGUACACAGC